ensembl:snRNA U1 U1 spliceosomal RNA
AUACUUGGCAGGGGAGAUACCAUGAUCAGGAAGAUGGUUUUUCCAGGGCAAAGCUCACACAUUUCCCUCCAGGUAUGCUGACCCCUGCAAUUUCCCCAAAUGUGGGAAAAUCAACUGCAUAAUUUGAGGUGGCGGUGGUGGUGGGGACUGUAUUCAUGCUCUCCCCUA